rnacentral:rRNA from 1 species
AAGGUGUUUAUGGAUUUCAUGGAUAAGUUUGAGGUGGUGUUCAUCAAUUAUAUCCUCAUUUAUUCAAAAAGCAAAGAAGAGCACAAGGACCACCUCCGAGCUGUGUUGCAAAGACUCUGUGGUCAUCAGCUUUAUGCAAAGUUUAGCAAAUGUGAAUUUUGGCUCUACCAGGUGGGAUUUCUGGGGCAUAUUCUCUCAGCUGAAGGUAUCACCUUGGAUCGAAGUAAAGUGAAGGAUGUGCUUGAUUGGUUCGCACCCACAACAGUCUCAGAAAUCCGGAGUUUCCUUGGAUUAGCCGGGUAUUAUCGCCGUUUUAUCGAAGGAUUCUCUAAGAAUGCCAAGCCAAAGACAGAGCUCCUAAAGAAGGACAAGAAGUUU